rnacentral:rRNA from 1 species
AGCGAACGCUGGCGGCAGGCCUAACACAUGCAAGUCGAACGGACUCUUCGGAGUUAGUGGCGGACGGGUGAGUAACACGUGGGAACGUGCCUUUAGGUUCGGAAUAGCUCCUGGAAACGGGUGGUAAUGCCGAAUGUGCCCUUCGGGGGAAAGAUUUAUCGCCUUUAGAGCGGCCCGCGUCUGAUUAGCUUGUUGGUGAG